GUGUGACUGCGUACCUUUUGUAUAAUGGGUCAGCGACUUAUAUUCUGUAGCAAGGUUAACCGAAUAGGGGAGCCGAAGGGAAACCGAGUCUUAACUGGGCGUUAAGUUGCAGGGUAUAGACCCGAAACCCGGUGAUCUAGCCAUGGGCAGGUUGAAGGUUGGGUAACACUAACUGGAGGACCGAACCGACUAAUGUUGAAAAAUUAGCGGAUGACUUGUGGCUGGGGGUGAAAGGCCAAUCAAACCGGGAGAUAGCUGGUUCUCCCCGAAAGCUAUUUAGGUAGCGCCUCGUGAAUUCAUCUCCGGGGGUAGAGCACUGUUUCGGCAAGGGGGUCAUCCCGACUUACCAACCCGAUGCAAACUGCGAAUACCGGAGAAUGUUAUCACGGGAGACACACGGCGGGUGCUAACGUCCGUCGUGAAGAGGGAAACAACCCAGACCGCCAGCUAAGGUCCCAAAGUCAUGGUUAAGUGGGAAACGAUGUGGGAAGGCCCAGACAGCCAGGAUGUUGGCUUAGAAGCAGCCAUCAUUUAAAGAAAGCGUAAUAGCUCACUGGUCGAGUCGGCCUGCGCGGAAGAUGUAACGGGGCUAAACCAUGCACCGAAGCUGCGGCAGCGACGCUUAUGCGUUGUUGGGUAGGGGAGCGUUCUGUAAGCCUGCGAAGGUGUGCUGUGAGGCAUGCUGGAGGUAUCAGAAGUGCGAAUGCUGACAUAAGUAACGAUAAAGCGGGUGAAAAGCCCGCUCGCCGGAAGACCAAGGGUUCCUGUCCAACGUUAAUCGGGGCAGGGUGAGUCGACCCCUAAGGCGAGGCCGAAAGGCGUAGUCGAUGGGAAACAGGUUAAUAUUCCUGUACUUGGUGUUACUGCGAAGGGGGGACGGAGAAGGCUAUGUUGGCCGGGCGACGGUUGUCCCGGUUUAAGCGUGUAGGCUGGUUUUCCAGGCAAAUCCGGAAAAUCAAGGCUGAGGCGUGAUGACGAGGCACUACGGUGCUGAAGCAACAAAUGCCCUGCUUCCAGGAAAAGCCUCUAAGCAUCAGGUAACAUCAAAUCGUACCCCAAACCGACACAGGUGGUCAGGUAGAGAAUACCAAGGCGCUUGAGAGAACUCGGGUGAAGGAACUAGGCAAAAUGGUGCCGUAACUUCGGGAGAAGGCACGCUGAUAUGUAGGUGAAGUCCCUCGCGGAUGGAGCUGAAAUCAGUCGAAGAUACCAGCUGGCUGCAACUGUUUAUUAAAAACACAGCACUGUGCAAACACGAAAGUGGACGUAUACGGUGUGACGCCUGCCCGGUGCCGGAAGGUUAAUUGAUGGGGUCAGCGCAAGCGAAGCUCUUGAUCGAAGCCCCGGUAAACGGCGGCCGUAACUAUAACGGUCCUAAGGUAGCGAAAUUCCUUGUCGGGUAAGUUCCGACCUGCACGAAUGGCGUAAUGAUGGCCAGGCUGUCUCCACCCGAGACUCAGUGAAAUUGAACUCGCUGUGAAGAUGCAGUGUACCCGCGGCAAGACGGAAAGACCCCGUGAACCUUUACUAUAGCUUGACACUGAACAUUGAGCCUUGAUGUGUAGGAUAGGUGGGAGGCUUGGAAGUGUGGACGCCAGUCUGCAUGGAGCCGACCUUGAAAUACCACCCUUUAAUGUUUGAUGUUCUAACGUUGACCCGUAAUCCGGGUUGCGGACAGUGUCUGGUGGGUAGUUUGACUGGGGCGGUCUCCUCCUAAAGAGUAACGGAGGAGCACGAAGGUUGGCUAAUCCUGGUCGGACAUCAGGAGGUUAGUGCAAUGGCAUAAGCCAGCUUGACUGCGAGCGUGACGGCGCGAGCAGGUGCGAAAGCAGGUCAUAGUGAUCCGGUGGUUCUGAAUGGAAGGGCCAUCGCUCAACGGAUAAAAGGUACUCCGGGGAUAACAGGCUGAUACCGCCCAAGAGUUCAUAUCGACGGCGGUGUUUGGCACCUCGAUGUCGGCUCAUCACAUCCUGGGGCUGAAGUAGGUCCCAAGGGUAUGGCUGUUCGCCAUUUAAAGUGGUACGCGAGCUGGGUUUAGAACGUCGUGAGACAGUUCGGUCCCUAUCUGCCGUGGGCGCUGGAGAACUGAGGGGGGCUGCUCCUAGUACGAGAGGACCGGAGUGGACGCAUCACUGGUGUUCGGGUUGUCAUGCCAAUGGCACUGCCCGGUAGCUAAAUGCGGAAGAGAUAAGUGCUGAAAGCAUCUAAGCACGAAACUUGCCCCGAGAUGAGUUCUCCCUGACUCCUUGAGAGUCCUGAAGGAACGUUGAAGACGACGACGUUGAUAGGCCGG
rnacentral:rRNA from 1 species